rnacentral:rRNA from 1 species
GACGAGGGAUCCUAGCGUUGUUCGGAAUCAUUGGGCGUAAAGCGGGUGUAGGUGGCUUUGUAAGUCGGGUGUGAAAGCCCAGGGCUCAACCCUGGAAGUGCAUUCGAUACUGCGAAGCUUGAGUGUUGGAGAGGUUAUCGGAAUACCUGGUGUAGUGGUGAAAUACGUAGAUAUCAGGUGGAACACCGGAGGCGAAGGCGGGUAACUGGCCAAACACUGACACUGAGACCCGAAAGUGUGGGGAUCAAACAGG